rnacentral:tRNA from 3 species
AUUUUAUUAGUAUAAAUAAGUAUAUUUGUUUUCCAAACAAAUGGUUUAAGUAUUUAAAUAAAAUA